GUGCUCCCCUCCAAAGCACAGGUAUUUAAUUGGAACCAUACAGACAAGAUGGGCAUGCCCCGCACAAGGAUGAAAGGCAACUUCAUGAAGCGUUCCUUAUUUUU
ensembl:snRNA U6 U6 spliceosomal RNA